rnacentral:snRNA from 1 species
GUGCUCACUCCUCUUGGCAGCACAUAUUCCGAAAUUGGAACAAACACAGAGAAGAUUAGUGUCCCUGCACAAGGAUGACGUAAAUUUAAGUGUUCCAUAUUUUG